CGUGCCAGCAGCCGCGGUAAUACGUAGGGUGCGAGCGUUGUCCGGGAAUUAUUGGGCGUAAAGAGCUUGUAGGCGGUCUGUCGCGUCUGCUGUGAAAACCCGAGGCUCAACCUCGGGCCUGCAGUGGGUACGGGCAGACUAGAGUGCGGUAGGGGAGAACGGAACUCCUGGUGUAGCGGUGGAAUGCGCAGAUAUCAGGAAGAACACCGAUGGCGAAGGCAGUUCUCUGGGCCGUAACUGACGCUGAGAAGCGAAAGCGUGGGGAGCGAACAGGAUUAGAUACCCUGGUAGUCCACGCCGUAAACGUUGGGCGCUAGAUGUGGGGACCAUUCCACGGUUUCCGUGUCGUAGCUAACGCAUUAAGCGCCCCGCCUGGGGAGUACGGCCGCAAGGCUAAAACUCAAAGGAAUUGACGGGGGCCCGCACAAGCGGCGGAGCAUGCGGAUUAAUUCGAUGCAACGCGAAGAACCUUACCAAGGCUUGACAUAUACCGGAAACGGCCAGAGAUGGUCGCCCCCUUGUGGUCGGUAUACAGGUGGUGCAUGGUUGUCGUCAGCUCGUGUCGUGAGAUGUUGGGUUAAGUCCCGCAACGAGCGCAACCCUCGUUCUAUGUUGCCAGCGGUUCGGCCGGGAACUCAUAGGAGACUGCCGGGGUCAACUCGGAGGAAGGUGGGGAUGACGUCAAAUCAUCAUGCCCCUUAUGUCUUGGGCUUCACGCAUGCUACAAUGGCCGGUACAAAGGGCUGCGAUGCCGUAAGGCGGAGCGAAUCCCAAAAAGCCGGUCUCAGUUCGGAUUGAGGUCUGCAACUCGACCUCAUGAAGUCGGAGUCGCUAGUAAUCGCAGAUCAGCAACGCUGCGGUGAAUACGUUCCCGGGCCUUGUACACACCGCCCGUCAAGUCAUGAAAGUCGGUAACACCCG
rnacentral:rRNA from 1 species